rnacentral:rRNA from 1 species
GACGAACGCUGGCGGCGUGCUUAACACAUGCAAGUCGAACGGAAAGGCCCUGCUUGCAGGGUACUCGAGUGGCGAACGGGUGAGUAACACGUGGGUGAUCUGCCCUGCACUUCGGGAUAAGCUUGGGAAACUGGGUCUAAUACCGGAUAGGAGCCAUCUUGAGUGUGGUGGUUGGAAAGUUUUUUCGGUGUAGGAUGAGCUCGCGGCCUAUCAGCUUGUUGGUGGGGUAAUGGCGUACCAAGGCGGCGACGGGUAGCCGGCCUGAGAGGGGGUACGGCCACAUUGGGGGUGUGAGACGGCCCAGACUCCUACGGGGGGGAGCAGUGGGGAAUAUUGCACAAUGGGCGCGAGACUGAGGCAGCGACGCCGCGUGGGGGAUGAAGGCCUUCGGGUUGUAAACUCCUUUCGCGAGUGACGAAGCUUGUUUGUGACGGUAACUAGAUAAGAAGCACCGGCUAACUACGUG